UUGAACGCUGGCGGCAGGCCUAACACAUGCAAGUCGAGCGGUAGCACAGAGAGCUUGCUCUCGGGUGACGAGCGGCGGACGGGUGAGUAAUGUCUGGGAAACUGCCUGAUGGAGGGGGAUAACUACUGGAAACGGUAGCUAAUACCGCAUAACGUCGCAAGACCAAAGUGGGGGACCUUCGGGCCUCAUGCCAUCAGAUGUGCCCAGAUGGGAUUAGCUAGUAGGUGGGGUAACGGCUCACCUAGGCGACGAUCCCUAGCUGGUCUGAGAGGAUGACCAGCCACACUGGAACUGAGACACGGUCCAGACUCCUACGGGAGGCAGCAGUGGGGAAUAUUGCACAAUGGGCGCAAGCCUGAUGCAGCCAUGCCGCGUGUGUGAAGAAGGCCUUCGGGUUGUAAAGCACUUUCAGCGGGGAGGAAGGCGGUGAGGUUAAUAACCUCAUCGAUUGACGUUACCCGCAGAAGAAGCACCGGCUAACUCCGUGCCAGCAGCCGCGGUAAUACGGAGGGUGCAAGCGUUAAUCGGAAUUACUGGGCGUAAAGCGCACGCAGGCGGUCUGUCAAGUCGGAUGUGAAAUCCCCGGGCUUAACCUGGGAACUGCAUUCGAAACUGGCAGGCUAGAGUCUUGUAGAGGGGGGUAGAAUUCCAGGUGUAGCGGUGAAAUGCGUAGAGAUCUGGAGGAAUACCGGUGGCGAAGGCGGCCCCCUGGACAAAGACUGACGCUCAGGUGCGAAAGCGUGGGGAGCAAACAGGAUUAGAUACCCUGGUAGUCCACGCCGUAAACGAUGUCGAUUUGGAGGUUGUGCCCUUGAGGCGUGGCUUCCGGAGCUAACGCGUUAAAUCGACCGCCUGGGGAGUACAGCCGCAAGGUUAAAACUCAAAUGAAUUGACGGGGGCCCGCACAAGCGGUGGAGCAUGUGGUUUAAUUCGAUGCAACGCGAAGAACCUUACCUGGUCUUGACAUCCACAGAACUUAGCAGAGAUGCUUUGGUGCCUUCGGGAACUGUGAGACAGGUGCUGCAUGGCUGUCGUCAGCUCGUGUUGUGAAAUGUUGGGUUAAGUCCCGCAACGAGCGCAACCCUUAUCCUUUGUUGCCAGCGGUCCGGCCGGGAACUCAAAGGAGACUGCCAGUGAUAAACUGGAGGAAGGUGGGGAUGACGUCAAGUCAUCAUGGCCCUUACGACCAGGGCUACACACGUGCUACAAUGGCAUAUACAAAGAGAAGCGACCUCGCGAGAGCAAGCGGACCUCAUAAAGUAUGUCGUAGUCCGGAUUGGAGUCUGCAACUCGACUCCAUGAAGUCGGAAUCGCUAGUAAUCGUAGAUCAGAAUGCUACGGUGAAUACGUUCCCGGGCCUUGUACACACCGCCCGUCACACCAUGGGAGUGGGUUGCAAAAGAAGUAGGUAGCUUAACCUUCGGGAGGGCGCUUACCACUUUGUGAUUCAUGACUGGGGUG
rnacentral:rRNA from 1 species